CAACAGGCCUGUGAGUGAGUGGAGUCAUCUUGGGAGCAGACCCUCUGGCCCCAUUCAAACCUUCAGACUUUGUGAAGCAGCUUCAAGGACUUGGCAGAGAUGAGGUGAAGCAAACAGCAUUCUAAAGUAAUGGCAAAGAAACAACUAAAAAAAUGGACAGUGUUUCUAGUUGAAAUCAGAAAGCUGAUGACAAAUAAGACCUCUGCUGGGACAAAGGAUUGUUGGUAUCAUUUGUGGAGCUAUGACACGUAUACACCAUGGGAAAAUAGCUGAAGCCAUCAAAGCGUGGACACCGCUGGCUGGAGGAUCUUAUCAGUCACCUUGGCAGCCCAGGUGUGGUCAUCACCUACCUGUGCCCUGAGUCUAUCUCAGAAAGAGGAAGACAGCCAGGAGUGAUUCUUCUGCCAGUUCUGGAAUGGACUUGACCUAGGUUCUGUUGGACAUAACUAGCAAUUGAACUUUUCUUCCCCAGUUCCCCACGCAGUGGGAAGUAAAAGGGCAUAGUUUUCUCUGAGGUCAUUUUUUGAGUCAAUAAAUCAGAUUGAUUCAGAGCUUUUCGAUGGAAUUUUGAGAUCUGCUUAUUAAGGAC
ensembl:lncRNA